AUGCAGAAGAGUUCAGUUGGUUAGAGCAUGGUGCUGAUAAUGCCAGGGUUGCAGGUUCGAUCCUUCUUUGGACA